rnacentral:sRNA from 1 species
UGCUUUAAGUUGGGAGCCUAAUUUUAUAGGCUGACGGCUGGUGAUUUUUUAGUCACCAGCCU